GAUGAACGCUAGCGGCAGGCUUAACACAUGCAAGUCGAGGGGUAACGGGGAAGCUUGCUUCCGCCGACGACCGGCGCACGGGUGCGUAACGCGUAUACAAUCUACCUUGUACUGGGGUAUAGCCUUUAGAAAUGAAGAUUAAUCCCCCAUAGUCUCUUAGAGUGGCAUCACUUCUAGAGUAAAGGUUACGGUAUAAGAUGAGUAUGCGUUCUAUUAGUUUGUUGGUGUGGUAACGGCACACCAAGACUACGAUAGAUAGGGGCCCUGAGAGGGGGAUCCCCCACACUGGUACUGAGACACGGACCAGACUCCUACGGGAGGCAGCAGUGAGGAAUAUUGGACAAUGGAGGCAACUCUGAUCCAGCCAUGCCGCGUGCAGGAAGACUGCCCUAUGGGUUGUAAACUGCUUUUAUACAGGAAGAAACACCUCUACGUGUAGAGGCUUGACGGUACUGUAAGAAUAAGGAUCGGCUAACUCCGUGCCAGCAGCCGCGGUAAUACGGAGGAUCCAAGCGUUAUCCGGAAUCAUUGGGUUUAAAGGGUCCGUAGGUGGAUAACUAAGUCAGAGGUGAAAUCUUGCAGCUCAACUGUAAAAUUGCCUUUGAAACUGGUUAUCUUGAGUUAUUAUGAAGUAGUUAGAAUAUGUAGUGUAGCGGUGAAAUGCAUAGAUAUUACAUAGAAUACCAAUUGCGAAGGCAGAUUACUAAUAAUUAACUGACACUGAUGGACGAAAGCGUGGGUAGCGAACAGGAUUAGAUACCCUGGUAGUCCACGCCGUAAACGAUGGUUACUAGCUGUUUGGACUUCGGUCUGAGUGGCUAAGCGAAAGUGAUAAGUAACCCACCUGGGGAGUACGUUCGCAAGAAUGAAACUCAAAGGAAUUGACGGGGGCCCGCACAAGCGGUGGAGCAUGUGGUUUAAUUCGAUGAUACGCGAGGAACCUUACCAGGGCUUAAAUGUAAGUUGCAUUAGCUAGAGAUAGCUAUUUCUUCGGACCACUUACAAGGUGCUGCAUGGUUGUCGUCAGCUCGUGCCGUGAGGUGUCAGAUUAAGUCCUAUAACGAGCGCAACCCCUGUUGUUAGUUGCCAGCGAGUCAUGUCGGGAACUCUAACAAGACUGCCAGUGCAAACUGUGAGGAAGGUGGGGAUGACGUCAAAUCAUCACGGCCCUUACGUUCUGGGCUACACACGUGCUACAAUGGUAGGUACAGAGAGCAGCCACUGCGCGAGCAGGAGCGAAUCUAUAAAACCUAUCACAGUUCGGAUCGGAGUCUGCAACUCGACUCCGUGAAGCUGGAAUCGCUAGUAAUCGGAUAUCAGCCAUGAUCCGGUGAAUACGUUCCCGGGCCUUGUACACACCGCCCGUCAAGCCAUGGAAGUUGGAAGUGCCUGAAGUCCGUCACCGCAAGGAGCGGCCUAGGGUAAAGUCGAUAACUAGGGCUAAGUCGUAACAAGGUAGCCGUACCGGAAGGUGCGGCUGGAACACCUCCUUUCU
rnacentral:rRNA from 1 species